AAUCCAUAGGUUAAUGAGGCGAACCGGGGGAACUGAAACAUCUAAGUACCCCGAGGAAAAGAAAUCAACCGAGAUUCCCCCAGUAGCGGCGAGCGAACGGGGAGGAGCCCAGAGCCUGAAUCAGCAUGUGUGUUAGUGGAAGCGUCUGGAAAGGCGCGCGAUACAGGGUGACAGCCCCGUACACAAAAGCGCAUGUGCUGUGAGCUCGAUGAGUAGGGCGGGACACGUGGUAUCCUGUCUGAAUAUGGGGGGACCAUCCUCCAAGGCUAAAUACUCCUGACUGACCGAUAGUGAACCAGUACCGUGAGGGAAAGGCGAAAAGAACCCCGGCGAGGGGAGUGAAAAAGAACCUGAAACCGUGUACGUACAAGCAGUGGGAGCCCCACCACUAAGCCAGUGGUGAACUCCACAUCCGCAUCCUUUGCUGAGGAUACGG
rnacentral:rRNA from 1 species